AUGAACGCUGGCGGCGUGCCUAAUACAUGCAAGUCGAGCGAACAGACGAGGAGCUUGCUCCUCUGACGUUAGCGGCGGACGGGUGAGUAACACGUGGAUAACCUACCUAUAAGACUGGGAUAACUUCGGGAAACCGGAGCUAAUACCGGAUAAUAUAUUGAACCGCAUGGUUCAAUAGUGAAAGACGGUUUUGCUGUCACUUAUAGAUGGAUCCGCGCCGCAUUAGCUAGUUGGUAAGGUAACGGCUUACCAAGGCAACGAUGCGUAGCCGACCUGAGAGGGUGAUCGGCCACACUGGAACUGAGACACGGUCCAGACUCCUACGGGAGGCAGCAGUAGGGAAUCUUCCGCAAUGGGCGAAAGCCUGACGGAGCAACGCCGCGUGAGUGAUGAAGGUCUUCGGAUCGUAAAACUCUGUUAUUAGGGAAGAACAAAUGCGUAAGUAACUAUGCACGUCUUGACGGUACCUAAUCAGAAAGCCACGGCUAACUACGUG
rnacentral:rRNA from 1 species